GACGUCGAUAUUCGACGUCAUAAACACGAUCAACUUUGGUGUUUAUGACGUCGAUAUUGGACGUCAUAAACACGAUCAACUUUGGUGUUUAUGACGUCGAUAUUCGACGUCAUAAACACGAACAACUUUGGUGUUUAUAACGUCAAUAUUCGAUGUCAUAAACACGAACAACUUUGGUGUUUAUGACGUCGAUAUUCGACGUCAUAAACACGAACAACUUUGGAGUUUAUGACGCCGAUAUUCGACGUCAUAAACACGAACAACUUUGGUGUUGAUGACGUCGAUAUUCGACGUC
rnacentral:miRNA from 1 species